GUGUAUGCGGUGCUAUACAUGCAAGUCGAGCGAACUGAUUAGAAGCUUGCUUCUAUGACGUUAGCGGCGGACGGGUGAGUAACACGUGGGCAACCUGCCUGUAAGACUGGGAUAACUUCGGGAAACCGAAGCUAAUACCGGAUAGGAUCUUCUCCUUCAUGGGAGAUGAUUGAAAGAUGGUUUCGGCUAUCACUUACAGAUGGGCCCGCGGUGCAUUAGCUAGUUGGUGAGGUAACGGCUCACCAAGGCAACGAUGCAUAGCCGACCUGAGAGGGUGAUCGGCCACACUGGGACUGAGACACGGCCCAGACUCCUACGGGAGGCAGCAGUAGGGAAUCUUCCGCAAUGGACGAAAGUCUGACGGAGCAACGCCGCGUGAGUGAUGAAGGCUUUCGGGUCGUAAAACUCUGUUGUUAGGGAAGAACAAGUACGAGAGUAACUGCUCGUACCUUGACGGUACCUAACCAGAAAGCCACGGCUAACUACGUGCCAGCAGCCGCGGUAAUACGUAGGUGGCAAGCGUUAUCCGGAAUUAUUGGGCGUAAAGCGCGCGCAGGCGGUUUCUUAAGUCUGAUGUGAAAGCCCACGGCUCAACCGUGGAGGGUCAUUGGAAACUGGGGAACUUGAGUGCAGAAGAGAAAAGCGGAAUUCCACGUGUAGCGGUGAAAUGCGUAGAGAUGUGGAGGAACACCAGUGGCGAAGGCGGCUUUUUGGUCUGUAACUGACGCUGAGGCGCGAAAGCGUGGGGGAGCAAACAGGAUUAGAUACCCUGGUAGUCCACGCCGUAAACGAUGAGUGCUAAGUGUUAGAGGGUUUCCCGCCCUUUUAGUGCUGCAGCUAACGCAUUAAGCACUCCGCCCUGGGGGAGUGCGGUCGCGAGACGGAACU
rnacentral:rRNA from 1 species